GUGCCCUACGGAGACGCAGGCGUUCGUGAAAUACAACUGGACGUCGCCCAUUGUCCAAGUCCUGUUUCUAUUGUGAUGAUACUAACGACACCGACCGGACCGGAAGUACCGUCAAAGACGUACUGCUUUCAAAGGAUGGGUCUAUUCAGGUGUCAAGUACAAGAACAGCAAAUAGCAGAAAUGGUGUGUACAUGGGAGAUUACAUGCAUUUCCAUUAUCCUUGCUUCAUGCCUUGAAGAAGAAUCGUAGAGCCACUCAUUGAUUGUUAUAGCUCGAUGGAUUCACUCAUACCUUUCAUCGAGGCUAUACGAGAGUUGUUCACUGCUCUGCAAAACACAAGAACCGAAAAGAGAGGAUGCCUGAUGGCGUGAGUUGACAAAAUCAUCAUAAACACAGUAGCUAAUGACAUUUAUUUACUCAACUUCAGAGUGGACCAGGUGUUUAUACAGGGUAGGACAUUUCUUAAGAGGAAGGCCUUUAUAUGUACAAAUAUGUUAGAAAUAUUGAUUAUUUCUGAUGGACUACAAAGCAAAGCCCAGAGGCUGGCAACCAACAGUUGAGUAUGUUCUAGCAUAAAAGUUUCAAAAGGCAGGUGAGCUACAUGACAAUGAAAAGCCAAGUUGUUUAAGUUGUUGUGCCAUGCUGUUUCCAUUUUUCAAUGAUGCAAUGAACAGUAUUCUGUGGAAUUUUUUUCUUAUAUAGACUCGUGUGUCCUUAAUCUUAUCCCUGACAUGUCUAGAUUUUAUGUAUGUUUGUUUUUCUGGUUUAAGUGGUCAAUCCAAUAAAUACAUACAUACACAUAUGUCACAAUUUUUUAAAUUUGUAAAAAAAAAACAAAAGUAACAUGGAUAUUUUA